GACAGUGGCUCAUCUGUUGCUGCACAUUUUGUGUUGGUCGUCCUUCAUCAGGGCUCACGGGACGCUGCCCACAAGAACGUGCUGGCUGGAUGUUUUUGGUUGGUGGGCUAUUCUCAUUCCAGCAGUCACACAUCAGAUACGAUGAACACCUGAAGUAAAGAGGCAGCAGCUCCAACGAAGGGCGGACAGAUCUGGAUGUUCUGGAUGAAUCACUUCACUGUUGACCAAAGAAGAAAGAAGAAGGGGGUUUAUUUGAGGUGCUAAAGAUGUUGCAACAUUGCUGUGAGGAUUGCAUUGAGCCACCACAGCCUCAAUGAGGUCAGGCAUUGAUGUUGGAUGGUUAGUUCUGGAUUACAAACACCACUCCAGCUCAUCCAGAACGUAACAGACAGAGCUACCUCUCUCCAGCAAACACAGAUCCAUUGCUCCACAGCCCAAUGGCAGGGGUCUUUGUAUUCCUCGGCUUACGCUUGGAGUUGAGCAUGGUGACCUUUAGUUCAGGCGCAGCUGCUCUGGAGUGUCACAUUCUAUUGGAAAUUAUACAAGCCAUGUGUGCUUAGUAAAAUACCUGUGUCAGCAGUUGUGGGUGCAUCGUAAAGUAGCUGAAUUCCCAUGUUAUGCUACCGGCAUGAAUUAAGCCUAGUCCUGUACUACACAGCAAGCUGAAUUGAUAUUCCAUUGAUAGGAAAAUGUUAUCCAGGAUUACACUUAGUCACUGUCUAGGAAACCGAUCCUUAAUUUAUUAAUAAUUGUGAAAUGCAACUGUUUUCAUUUUGCAGAACCCAAGAAUUAAAUGAAUCCUCCUAUUAUCUUUUGGUUCAUUCAGACCCCAUUCAGUGUUUAAUAUAAAGAAAAUGAUAAACUUUUUUUUGCUUCAUAUUUAUUGAAUUGGGUAAACAUAACAACAGGGUGAGCAAAUGAAUAAACAUAAUAUUAACAGAAUGAUGACGAUGAUACAUUUUCAAUGUCCUGUAUACAUUUUGUACACAUCAGUGUUCUUGGGGGUCAGUUGCUGUUUUAGUUGUAUAAAACAAAUAUCAACAAUUUAUGCACAUUUGCUUUGAAUGAGAGAUUGAUCACAAUAACAUGCAGUUUUAUAAUCUUCAAUAAACUUUGCUUUGUUUUAGGACACUGACCUAACAUAAAUACACCUACAGUAGUGUGAGAACCACUGAUACCUCACAUUUAAUAGGGGAGGGGAAACAUAAUUCUCAUGAGAACUUUGAUAUUUCCCAGAGGUUUGAAUUGCUGGGGUCAGUUCGACCAUAAGGAUGAUGGAUGUCAGUAAAUUUAAAGACAACAGGAGUGAUAAUAGAUACACUUAUAUGUAGUUGUGAGUACUUCCAGGCAAAUGACAAUUGAUUUUGGAAAAGGAAAUAAGUUAUACACACAUAAAUGUGGUAUUUUCUGGCAUUUUCUCAAUGCUUUAUCACUAUUUAAUA